AUGAUUGGCUCGGGAGAGACUGAAACCAAGAAUGGCGCCGAAGGGGCAUGCAAAAACUCUCAGGCAAAAGGACCGGACCAGGACG
rfam:Firmicutes bacterium CAG:137 genomic scaffold, scf209